CUUGGUGGCUCGACGCGAGUGAUACACCCGUUCUCAUUCCGAACACGGCAGUUAAGCCUCGUAGUGGCGAUGAUAGUGGAAACGCGAAAGUAGCUAGCCGCCAAAC
rnacentral:rRNA from 1 species